UCCGAAGGGAACUACCAUAGUACAGCGC
rnacentral:piRNA from 1 species